ACGGUAAACAUUUCAAAAUCACGUAUACAAACACAAAAAGUGUGUCUCAAAAAUUGUCUCUCUGUCUGUUUAUAACUUCAGCUAAGUGUGAAUAUUUUACCGGAUUUCUGAGCACUUCACAGAGAAAAAAAAAACAUAAUUCAACAAACAAUAAUUAUACAAUGUGUAUUUAGAGAUUACAUUGAUCGAGAAAAAAACAACAUGUAACAGUGUUUAAAACUGCAUAUGAGAAUCAAAAUGGCGGAUAAGGAAGUUAAAAUCACCAUAAAAUGUUAUAUCUUGAUUGUUGUCUUUUUCGAUUUGCUUCUAGCAAAUGCACUGCAUCAAAAUUUUCAUCAAACAAAACUAGUGUUUGAAACUGACGCGUCAUCCCUGCCGAUGUUUAACCGGCAUAACGACAUUGAAAAAACAAUGGAUAUCUCCACAACCUGGCCAAAAGAGCUGUGGCAUAUGAUGAUGUGUGUAAAAACCUGAACGAUCAGCUGCAACGUAAUCUGACGGGUACCGUUAUACAUCAUACUUAUAUGAAAACGGGAUCAGCAUUAGCAGUUGCAUGGGUGGGUGAGAAUAACAAGAACUUGAUUAUUGUAACAGUUGUUAAUGAGGGAUUUCUGGAACUAUUCAAGACAAUCUACUGUAUUCAGAAGUGUUGAUUAUGGUGCAACUUAUCGCAAUUUAACACAGUCUUUCGGAUUAUCUGUUAUUAAGAAGCACAGUGGGUUACAGCGACAUCCAAAUGACGCUAACAAGGUGUAUCUAAUUGGUGAAGGCAACUAUAUGUAUACAACAGCGGAUGGUGGUCUGUCCUUUCUAAAGAUAGAUCUACCAUUUUCAGUCAGUGGAGAAUUGAUUUUCAGUAACUAUAAUAGAGACCACUUGAUGGCACUAGAUACAGACAAGAAACUGUUUGUCUCAAAAGAUAAUGGCGCAAAUUGGAAGCAGGUCAAUAUACAAGAUAACGUAAAUAACGAGAAGAAAUUCCAAAAAGCAGUUUGGGGUAUAAAACCGGAAGAAGACGAAGAUCAAGGGGACCAACCCAGACACAGCUAAUACUAUAUAUUUUACCUAUGGUUCUUCUGCUGAAUCAAAUUGGUAUCAUAACAAAAGUAAUGGGUUGACUCUCGCCAAAUCAACAGAUGGUGGAAACACUUACACUGAUCUCUUGUCAGCAGUUAUAUCGUUUGAACGUAAAGGAAAGUUUUUGUUUGCUUCGCAGAGCAUAUUCCCAGAUGAAUUUGUGAAUGGGCCUAGCCAAAUACGGAUAUCUACUGAUGGUGGAAACAACUUUCAGAAGAUCAAGAUACCUACUACAGCGCCACCCGACGCUUUCCGUGUAGUGGAUAUUGAUCAUAACAGGAUAUUUGUGCAUGUGGACGAGAAGGACGGCACGGGUCUUGGAACACUCUACAUAUCAGACAGCCAAGGGUUACUGUAUUCAAGAUCACUUAAGAGACACAUGUUUCCUAAUUACAACGACGUCAGUGGCUUUUACAAGGUAAAGUCGAUGCGAGGUGUAUACAUGACCAGUCAGAUCAGUAGAGAUGGAUCCAUACAUACCAAGAUAACAUAUAACCGUGGAGCUGAUUGGCAGAACAUUUCUAGACCAGAUGGUGUGCCUUGUAAAAACGAAUCAAAGGAUUGUUAUUUGCAAAUACACGGCAUAUACAGUAUUAAACGUGGGAUCAAUACUGAACUUCCUAUUAGCCAGUCAACAGCUGUAGGAUUGAUUUUGGCACAUGGGCAUGUAGCUGAUGCCUUGCAGAAGACAGAUCCGGAUGUCUUUGUAUCAAGAGAUGGUGGUUAUACAUGGCACCUGGCUUUGGAAGGACCACACUUUUACGAGAUGGGAGGUUACGGGGGAUUAGUGGUGGCAAUUUCCAAUUCAGAAUCAUAUCCACAAAUCGUGAAAUUUUCUUUCGAUGAAGGGAGAUGUUGGCAUGAAUAUAAAUUUACAGAGAAAAAUCUCAAUAUUACAGGCAUUUUAGCAAACCCGACGAGCUUAGCUGUAAUGGUGUUUGGUUAUAUAUCUUCGACUAAACAGUGGGAUGUGACAGUGAUAGAUUUCAGGAGAAUGGUUCAACGAAAAUGCUCUAAUGAUGAUUAUGAAUCUUGGACAACACUGAAUACCAACAAUAGCUCAGAAGUAAAGGGGUGUGUACUUGGCACUAAGGAAACAUUUAAAAGACUGAAGAAGGAUUCACUGUGUUUCAAAGGACAUGACUACGUCGUGAACAACACUAUGGAAGAAUGUGUAUGUACAAAGGAAGAUUAUGAGUGUGACUAUGGUUACAUGCGAGAUGGAGUUCCUCACGAAUGUAUAAAGGAAACAUUUUUCAGAGCGGAAGUCAAUAAAUGUUUGUCAAAUUACGAUACCAAGAACUUUUUACUCGGUUACAGAAAAAUUCCCGGUAACAAAUGUGUAGGGGGAUUUUCACCACCGAGCAUUACUGACUCACGAAAGAUGUGCAAUGAAUCUCAUAAUACAACAGAGAAAACACCAGAAGUAGACGAACCUCAAGGUAUAUCCACUACUCCAGAACACUCUACAAAAAUGGACAACGAGAUAUCCAAACAACCUGAUGACACGACAAGUAGAGACAAACAGGUAGACCUAUUUCUUGAACGCUUUGCAUUUUGUUCGUCUAUAUAAAACCUAUGGCAGUUACCUGGUUAACUGGAGUUGUCUGUUGCUAUUGGAGGCUCGAACGGGGUCGAAAGCUUCCAAGACUUAUAAUGGUUAAACAGUGAUAUAUAUUAAAUGCAGAAACCAGCAGAUAAAUUUCUAUGACCCUCAAGGAGAACCCAAUGUACUUGAUCUUCGCAAUGAUCUAUAAAUCCGUGGUCAUACUUUAUGACAGUUACGAAAGCAAUCGGUCAACAAACUAGCUAUCACUGUUCCUGUUGCUGUAGUAACCAUCUUGCUUGUAGUUUCCAUUUUGGGAAUUUUCCUUGCAAGGAAAUAUGUGUCACAGAGAAGAGG
rnacentral:misc_RNA from 1 species